rnacentral:misc_RNA from 1 species
GAUGAAGAACGUAGCGAAAUGCGAUAAGUAAUGCGAAUUGCAGAAUUCAGUGAGUCAUCGAAUCUUUGAACGCAUAUUGCGCCCUCUGGUAUUCCGGAGGGCAUGCCUGUCCGAGCGUCAUUGCUGCCCUCAAGCACGGCUUGUGUGUUGGGCCCCGCCCCCCGAUCCCGGGGGGCGGGCCCGAAAGGCAGCGGCGGCACCGCGUCCGGUCCUCGAGCGUAUGGGGCUUUGUCACCCGCUCUGUAGGCCCGGCCGGCGCUUGCCGAUCAACCAAACUUUUUUCCAGGUUGACCUCGGAUCAGGUAGGGAUACCCGCUGAACUUAAGCAUAUCAAUAAGCGGAGGA